GUUAAAAAAAAGUCCCGGCAUUGUGUCUGUCACAGCUUUGAAAGCCGAGAAGCAAAGACAAAGUUUUGUGGUGGAAUCCUUAAAUCUACGUUGCAAGGUUUUUGGGUACCGCAGAGCCCCUCAGUCACGCAGACAGAGCAGUGGGUGCGGUCUGUGGUCGACAGGCACUGGAGCGUGUCUGUGAACACGCGUGUGUGUACACACGGACUCGGACAGAAUCCCAGCUGCCGCGGGACGGGCCGGCUCCUUCCUGGGACAGACCACCUACCUGUUCCCAGGGGACGCUGCGUGAGGACGCAUCCCGCCGUGCAGGCAGGGGAGUGUCGGUGCCGAGGGCGGUGGGCAGAACCACACGGGUUUGGACCUGGAGGAGUCCCCAGAGCAGUGCCUGUAGGACAGAGCGUCCAAGUGUCCAGCGCGUGUCUCUCGCAGGAAGGCCACCUGUGGCCGCCGCCCACGUCUCCUCCUGUGCUCAGGCCCUGUGUCCUGGCACCCUGGCUAACACCUGUCUCUCCUUUCCAUUGGAAGGUGGCUGUAGCAACCGUGGCAACUGCUGCAACGGAUAUGAUUGCCUGUGAGCCCGAUGAAUAUCUGGUUGAAAACUACUGCUGUAGAUUCUGCCCAGCGGGCCACUUCGUCAGCGGGCUGUGUUCACAGAACCACAGCAUUGGAGAGUGCGAGCCGUGCAGGCCUGGGACGUUCAUGGCCUACCCCAGCAGUGAGGCGUCCUGCUCCCCGUGCAGCCCCUGCCGGCCCGGUAAGUGUGCAGCCUCGCCCGGGGGCACUGGCUCCACUGAUUUUUUUUUUUUUUUUUUUUUGAGAUUUAUUUAUUUGAAAGGCAAAGUGAUGGAGGUCUUCCAUCCACUGGUUCACUCCCCAAAAGGCCGCAACAGCCAGGUCUGGUCCAGGCCAAAGCUGGAAGCCAGGAGCUCCAUCGUGGUUUCCUGCAUGGGUGGCAGGGGCCCAAGUACUUGAGCCGUCGUCGGCUGUGUUCCCAGGUGCCCGAGGAGGAAGCUGGAUCGGAAGCAGAGUAGCCAGGACUCGAACCUGCGCUCCCGUGUGGGAUGCCAGGGUCGCGAGCAUCCGCGUACCCUGCCGCACCCCAGUGCCAGCCCCUAACUGCUUAGUUGCUGUAGACGGUAUUAAUAUAUGAGUCGCUGAGUUACCGUAGCAGCGACAGAUUGUUUUGUUUUUGCUUUUAAAGAUGUAUUUGUUUAUUUGAAAGGCAUAGCAUCUCCGUCCUCUGUUUCACUCCCCAAAUGGCCACAACAGCCGGGGCUGGGCCAGGCCGGAGCCAGGAGCUGGGAGUUCCAUCCUGGCCUCCCAGCUGGGUGGCAGGAGCCUAAGCGCUUGGGCCAUCGCUGUCGCCUUCCCAGCGCGUGAGCAGGAUGCCGCACUGCAGAGCAGCCGGGACCUGGCGUGGCACUCGGGUACAGGGGUGCAGGUGUCGCAUGCAGCACUGUGCCCACACGCUGGCUCUGGUGACUUGUUCUUUAGAAAAGAUACUGUUUGUGUUAGCAAACAAGCAAACAACAGCCCGUGACACCUGGAACAAAGCUUAGUAAGGGGUGCAUAAAAUGUCCCCGUGGGCAGGCAGGUGAGAGAGACCCCCAGCGCGUAGAGAGGUGGUGGGCGCUCUGCCGUGUCCGUGGGGGAGUGCCAGGUGCAGCCCCCAGCUCCAACUGCAGCUCCUGCGGCGCCAUGGGAGACCUGGACGGAGUUCCCAGCUCUCGGCUGCGGCCCCAGCUGUUGGAGCACCUGGGGAACGAGAGCACGGCCAUUCGUCCCCUCUCUGCGUCCUCUAUGUGCGUCCCUCUGUCUGCGUCCCUCAGUCUGCGUCCCUCUCUGUGCGUCCCUCUCUCUGCGUCCCCUCUCUCUGUGUCCCCUCUCUGGGCGUCCCUCUCUCUGCAUCCCCUCUCU
rnacentral:lncRNA from 1 species